rnacentral:rRNA from 1 species
AGCGAACGCUGGCGGCAGGCUUAACACAUGCAAGUCGAGCGGGCAUCCUUGUGGUGUCAGCGGCAGACGGGUGAGUAACGCGUGGGAACGUGCCCUUCGGUUCGGAAUAACUCAGGGAAACUUGAGCUAAUACCGGAUACGUGCGAGAGCAGAAAGGUUUAUCUGCCGAAGGAUCGGCCCGCGUCUGAUUAGCUAGUUGGUGAGGUUAUGGCUCACCAAGGCGACGAUCAGUAGCUGGUCUGAGAGGAUGAUCAGCCACACUGGGACUGAGACACGGCCCAGACUCCUACGGGAGGCAGCAGUGGGGAAUAUUGGACAAUGGGGGCAACCCUGAUCCAGCCAGGCCGCGUGAGUGAUGACGGCCGUAGGGUUGUAAAGCUCUUUUCUUCGGGACGAUAAUGACGGUACCGGAGGAAUAAGCCCCGGCUAACUUCGUG